UUUACGCCAGAAAAUUUGUCUGCAAUCGAAACAUAUUCUUUGCUCAAUAGACUUGAUGAGUUGAGCGAAAAUCUUAAGGAUUUAAUAUGUUUCAAGCUUGGAAUAUCUUAUCUGAGGAUAAAAUCGGUUCGAUUACAGUUUCACAGUACUUAUCUAAUAGCCACAGUCAAAAUUACUGAAAGGUUCAAUUUCGUUGACUUACUGAUUUAUCGAAAGCUUGACCUAUCAGGAUUUUUACAUUUUCUUUACUCACAAACUCGCUUGGAACUUGAAGCCAUGAAAAGCAAUGUCAGUAAAAUCAUCAGCUGCAAUGACAUUAGCUUCGGAUGCAUUGGAAUAACGCUUGAUCAGCCUUUGCCUGAGCAAAAUGAAGAUACAUCAAACGCUGUUAUAUACAACAAUUUGGAUAAAGUAUUGUAUAAACUUGUUCAAGAGCCAUCAUUAAGAGAACUGAAAAUGUCAUACAAACAUCUAAAUCAAACAACGCUUUCCAGUGCUGAACUAAACUUUGACCUACAUCCAAUCGAAUCAAAUGAUAGCCAUUCACCAAUUGAUUCUGAUUCGUUCAAUGUGAAAAUUUAUUGUAGAAAUUGUUUAGGCAACUGUAUCUUUUACUGAUUGUCGCCCUCGUUUGCGUCGUCAUUGGCUUCGCUGCAAUUGCGUGCAAAUUAUAUCGACGAAACGUUCGAAUCAGCUCAUCUCCGUCAAUUUCACUGACAGUUUUGAAAGAUUCAUAAGAUUAUAACAUUAUCAGUAUAAAUUGUGACCUUAAAAUACUUAUUUGAAUCUAAAGACUCUGAAUUUUUAACAAAUUUAAAUGAAAGUAUUAAAAAUUCUUAUUGUUUCUGUAUUCUCUUCAAGUUUAUUACUACGAUCAUGGCUGGUCGUAAAUUUCUUUCUACUGAAUACAAUAAAUUCAAUCCACAUUUAAAGACUCGAAUGGUCGAUGUAAAAUCAUUGUCAAUGAGAAAAUUUUUUCAUUCUAAUGAACAGAUUGUCAUUAUUUUUACACAGAAAUAAAGAAAGAUGCUUCGCAUUAGUUCAACAUCAAAUCAA